CCACCCUCCUAUUACCGCAUUAUGACCUAAUCAGCCCUUUCCUCAGUGCCAGUCCUUCCUCCAAAUACCAGUCCCCUAGUUAAUCCUCAGUGAAUUGUCCUUAGCAAGUGGCUCAGUUCUAGGUUCUUCACCCUUCUAUUGCCACACUUCAGUUUGACUCUGUUAAACAUUUCCUGGGCACCUCUCUGAUUAUGUGACUCCUGGUAAGUUACUUACGUAAAGGAUGGCUGUGACAAUGGAACAGGCAUAAAGUGUGCCUGUGCCUGUCAGUAAGUAAGUGCUCCAAAAAGUUGGUGAUAGAGAAAGAGGUGAGAAGAGUCCAGGACCCUGAAGAGCCCAUCUUAUCCUUCCACAAGUCACUGUGUCCUGGAGGUCACCAAGAAGACAAGGCCAUGCUGCGCAUGUCCCCUCUCACUCCGAGGCUUUGGUUCUAAAGCCCAGGCCAGUGUCCCAGGGCUCAGCUAAACUGAGCCACGCAGCUCCAUUUCCUCAUCUACAAAAUACGAAGCUUGGGUAGAUGAUAACUACUAUUCCUUUUUUUGGCUGGAAACUGUUUUUCCAACUUCACAGAGUUCUUCCCAGAUCAACUGGAGGCUCUGCUUUAUGGUUUUCUUAUUCUAGAAUCCAGAUGAAGAUCUGGACCACUGCCAGCAGUCAAGACAAAGGAUGAGAGUUCCCAAGGACCUUGGAUCAAUAAUUAAAUGGGCAAUUUGGGAGGGAUUCAUGUCUUAUUGAUCCUUAAUUUACAAAAACUAUUAUCAUGGCCCCAUCUAAACAUGACAUGGUCAGGAAAUAUAUUCCUAUCCUGGAAGAGGGGUGAAACAGUAUUUACCAAACAACACUCAUGAUCUUCAAUGUAAUUGGACACAAGUGCUAUUUUAUACUAUGCUUUUAUCACAUAACAGUAUUUUAGAAUUCUUCCUAUCAGCAAAACUUUGUAUCAUUUUUCAUAGCCUCAUUAGUAACCCAUUAUACACAUAAUAAUCAUUGAUUUAGCCUUUCUGCUGCUGGUGAAUAUUUAGAAGGUUUUGCUAUAAAUAUCAUUAUAUUGAACACCUCUGUACAUAAAUCUCUUUGUAUAAGUCAAAGUGUAUCUUUAAGAUAUAAGAAAGAAAAAGGCAGCCCGACAUCACCGACAGAUAGGCUUCAGUGUUGUUUGAAGCUAGCAAGUCACUCACAGCUGGACCAUAUUGUUCUUGUGUUGGACAUAAACAAUCUCACAGAACACCAACAUCAAACAAGUUCACUCUGAAACCAUCCUAAAAUUAGUCUAAAUAAGACCACUUCAUAAUUUUCUCUAAGCACAGACAAAAACAAGGUCACUGCACAAACACCACAAAAUACCAGUAUCUCUUCUGCUUAAUAAGACUGGUUACUGUUUCUUUACUGAUUACAGCUUUUGCUUCAUUCUAGUCUACCUUUCCUCUAGGUAAGAUUGAGAUACUCAAUCAUAGACUGGUCCUGACUUUCUGACAGCACCCAAUCCAGAGCAAAGUCUCACUUCUUGGAUUCUCCCCCAAAGCAUCCAAUCAAAGAUGAAAUCUUGUAACAGGGAGUUAGAAAUGAACCCUCUCACUGAGGCAUCUCACCACUUCCUGUAGUACACAUUCUGUUUUGCUGUAACAAGUCAUAAAUCCAACUAGUUCAACACCAGGCAUGUUCCUGGUACAAAGACAUUGGCAGGUACGAUUCUUGAAGUUAAAUUACACAGCAGUAAGGUAGUACAAUUUUGAGCAAAACUGGCAAUUGUCCUUUAAAAAGACUGCACCCAUCAAAGAUGUGUGAAAAGGUCUAUUUCCUUACAGCUUUGUAUAAAACCAAUUUAAAAAAAUUUUUGCUAAUCUAAUAAUAUGAAAAGUAAUGUCCACUUUUGAUUUAUAUUUCUUUAAUUAUAACUGAAGUUAAGCAUCUUUUCAUAUUUUAAGCCAUUUUUCCUCUUAAUAACUUACACUCAGUUUCCUAUUGGGUUUGUCUUUCCUUUUGAUUUGUAAGUGUUCUUUCAGCAUUAAGGAUAUUUUUUCCCUUGUGUGUCAUAUGAGUUAUAACUGUGUUACCAGUUAGUUACUUGCCUUAUUGUUAAUAAAAUUGUUUUACUGUAGACAUGUAGUUUUAUGUAAAAUUUUUUUCUCCUUUAUGGCUUCUGAUUUUCUAUGUUACCUAGUUUUCACUUUAAAAUUAUAAAAAUAAAAAGUAUCCCAUGUUCUCUUCUAAUACUUUUAGAGCAGGUAUUUUCUGUUCUUAUACUUCCCCUCGACAGCAAAUGCCUUUGAUCCUCAUGCCUUCCACAUUGACAAUUUCACAAUUAUUAGUGCUAUCUUUUCUUAGUUUGUUCCUACUAAUUUGGUGUUUUACUUUCAGUUUCUUUAAAAGCUUCCCCUGGUCUGGUGCAUAACUAUUGUUUAUGAUUCUGUUUUUUUCCCUUUCUCUACAGCAGUAAUCCCUAAAGAAAAUAGUGAGAAACUACUCUGCCAUUCUCAGCUAUGUAUUAUUGGGUAAGUCUGCUCCAGAGAAGCCCUCGAAACUCUCAAUGGCUUAAGUUGAAUAGUGAUUGCAUCUCCUGGUCAUUAUGGUCCAAAAUAGGGCCAAGGGCCUCACUGGAGAUAGUUACAUACAAGGGACA